CCUAAGUCGAGUCCGAAAGGGGUAGACGAUGGCAAAUUGGUUAAUAUUCCAAUACCAACAUUAGUGUGCGAUGGAAGGACGCUUAGGGCUAAGGGGGCUAGCGGAUGGAAGUGCUAGUCUAAGGUCGUAGGAGGUUAUACAGGCAAAUCCGUAUAACAAUACUCCGAGAACUGAAAGGCUUUUUGAAGUCUUCGGAUGGAUAGAAGAACCCCUGAUGCCGUCGAGCCAAGAAAAGUUUCUAAGUUUAGCUAAUGUUGCCCGUACCGUAAACCGACACAGGUGGGUGGGAUGAGUAUUCUAAGGCGCGUGGAAGAACUCUCUUUAAGGAACUCUGCAAAAUAGCACCGUAUCUUCGGUAUAAGGUGUGGUUCGCUUCGUAUUAGGAUUUACUCCGAAAGCGAAGAAACUUACAACAAAGAGUCCCUCCCGACUGUUUACCAAAAACACAGCACUCUGCUAACUCGUAAGAGGAUGUAUAGGGUGUGACGCCUGCCCGGUGCUCGAAGGUUAAUUGAUGGGGUUAGCAUUAGCGAAGCUCUUGAUCGAAGCCCGAGUAAACGGCGGCCGUAACUAUAACGGUCCUAAGGUAGCGAAAUUCCUUGUCGGUUAAAUACCGACCUGCAUGAAUGGCGUAACGAGAUGGGAGCUGUCUCAAAGAGGGAUCCAGUGAAAUUGUAGUGGAGGUGAAAAUUCCUCCUACCCGCGGCAAGACGGAAAGACCCCGUGGACCUUUACUACAGCUUGACACUGCUAUUUGGAUAAGAAUGUGCAGGAUAGGUGGGAGGCUUUGAGUAUAUGACGCCAGUUGUAUAUGAGCCAUUGUUGAGAUACCACUCUUUCUUAUUUGGGUAGCUAACCAGCUUGAGUUAUCCUCAAGUGGGACAAUGUCUGGUGGGUAGUUUGACUGGGGCGGUCGCCUCCCAAAUAAUAACGGAGGCUUACAAAGGUUGGCUCAGAACGGUUGGAAAUCGUUCGUAGAGUAUAAAGGUAUAAGCCAGCUUAACUGCAAGACAUACAAGUCAAGCAGAGACGAAAGUCGGUCUUAGUGAUCCGGUGGUUCUGUGUGGAAGGGCCAUCGCUCAAAGGAUAAAAGGUACCCCGGGGAUAACAGGCUGAUCUCCCCCAAGAGCUCACAUCGACGGGGAGGUUUGGCACCUCGAUGUCGGCUCAUCGCAUCCUGGGGCUGGAGCAGGUCCCAAGGGUAUGGCUGUUCGCCAUUUAAAGCGGUACGCGAGCUGGGUUCAGAACGUCGUGAGACAGUUCGGUCCCUAUCUGCCGUGGGCGUAAGAAGAUUGAAGAGAUUUGACCCUAGUACGAGAGGACCGGGUUGAACAAACCACUGGUGUAGCUGUUGUUCUGCCAAGAGCAUCGCAGCGUAGCUAAGUUUGGAAAGGAUAAACGCUGAAAGCAUCUAAGCGUGAAGCCAACUCUAAGAUGAAUCUUCUCUAAGCUCUCUAGAAGACUACUAGUUUGAUAGGCUGGGUGUGUAAUGGAUGAAAGUCCUUUAGCUGACCAGUACUAAUAGAGCGUUUGGCUUAUCUUU
rnacentral:rRNA from 1 species